rnacentral:rRNA from 1 species
AUUGAACGCUGGCGGCAGGCCUAACACAUGCGAGUCGAGCGGAUGAAGGGAGCUUGCUCCUGGAUUCAGCGGCGGACGGGUGAGUAAUGCCUAGGAAUCUGCCUGGUAGUGGGGGAUAACGUCCGGAAACGGGCGCUAAUACCGCAUACGUCCUGAGGGAGAAAGUGGGGGAUCUUCGGACCUCACGCUAUCAGAUGAGCCUAGGUCGGAUUAGCUAGUUGGUGGGGUAAAGGCCUACCAUGGCGACGAUCCGUAACUGGUCUGAGAGGAUGAUCAGUCACACUGGAACUGAGACACGGUCCAGACUCCUACGGGAGGCAGCAGUGGGGAAUAUUGGACAAUGGGCGAAAGCCUGAUCCAGCCAUGCCGCGUGUGUGAAGAAGGUCUUCGGAUUGUAAAGCACUUUAAGUUGGGAGGAAGGGCAGUAAGUUAAUACCUUGCUGUUUUGACGUUACCAACAGAAUAAGCACCGGCUAACUUCGUG